UUACAUUUCUGCAACUGUUCAAGAGUCUUUUCGAGAAGGCAAUUCUGUUACUUGUUGCUGAAACAACAUUUGCUAGGAUGAUGCAGAUAAAGAGAUUAGCUUUGCACUAUGACCGAUGCAGAGGCUCUUUGUGCCGCGCAAACACUUUGAGCGGCGCACAGCUGAGCUCUUCUUUGUGGCCCACGUCUGCCCACGGAGAAGUGGAAGCUGUUGGCUGCCUUCCACAUAUCGCAGAUGUAUGUACUGCAGUGGGACACGUGAGGGUGGGGAGCGCUCGCUCUCGGUCUCAAGUACAAACUGUACCCGACGCUGGAGGAGUAACUGCAAGAAAAACACGACGCAUGUGCACACGCUCUGACCGCUGCAUGCACAUCACACAGUCAAUUGUGCACAUUUUCUAUGAUCUUUGGAUGCAAAGCCACUUGAACAGGUUUCAGAUUAAAAAAAAAAAAGGCAAAAAGUGUUCGGUGAUGAAAAUGGAAAUUAGAUGA
rnacentral:lncRNA from 1 species